rnacentral:rRNA from 1 species
UACGUAGGGACCGAGCGUUGUCCGGAAUCAUUGGGCGUAAAGAGCUCGUAGGCGGUUUGUCGCGUCGGCCGUGAAAUCUCCACGCUUAACGUGGAGCGUGCGGUCGAUACGGGCAGACUUGAGUUCGGUAGGGGAGACUGGAAUUCCUGGUGUAGCGGUGAAAUGCGCAGAUAUCAGGAGGAACACCGGUGGCGAAGGCGGGUCUCUGGGCCGAUACUGACGCUGAGGAGCGAAAGCGUGGGGAGCGAACAGG